rnacentral:rRNA from 1 species
GAUGAACGCUGGCGGCGUGCCUAAUACAUGCAAGUCGAGCGAACAGACGAGGAGCUUGCUCCUCUGACGUUAGCGGCGGACGGGUGAGUAACACGUGGAUAACCUACCUAUAAGACUGGGAUAACUUCGGGAAACCGGAGCUAAUACCGUAUAACAUGUUGAACCGCAUGGUUCAACAGUGAAAGACGGUCUUGCUGUCACUUAUAGAUGGAUCCGCGCCGCAUUAGCAAGUUGGUAAGGUAACGGCUUACCAAGGCAACGAUGCGUAGCCGACCUGAGAGGGUGAUCGGCCACACUGGAACUGAGACACGGUCCAGACUCCUACGGGAGGCAGCAGUAGGGAAUCUUCCGCAAUGGGCGAAAGCCUGACGGAGCAACGCCGCGUGAGUGAAGAAGGUCUUCGGAUCGUAAAACUCUGUUAUUAGGGAAGAACAAAUGUGUAAGUAACUAUGCACGUCUUGACGGUACCUAAUCAGAAAGCCACGGCUAACUACGUG